ACGCUGAGGCACGAAAGCGUGGGUAGCAAACAGGAUGGAUACACUGGUAGUCCACGCCGUAAACGAUGAGUACUAAGUGUCGGGAUAAAACUCGGUACUGAAGUUAACACAUUAAGUACUCCGCCUGAGUAGUACGUACGCAAGUUUGAAACUUAAAGGAAUUGACGGGACUCCGCACAAGCGGGGGAUCAUGUUGUUUAAUUCGAAGAUACACGAAAAAUCUUACCAGGUCUUGACAUGCUCUGCAAAGCUAUAGAAAUAUAGUGGAGGUUAUCAGGGACACAGGUGGUGCAUGGUUGUCGUCAGUUCGUGUCGUGAGAUGUUAGGUUAAGUCCUAAAACGAGCGCAACCCUCGUCGUUAGUUACCAGCACGUAAUGGUGGGCACUUUAACGAGACUGCCAAUUAAACAUUGGAGGAAGGUGAGGAUUACGUCAAAUCAUCAUGCCCCUGAUGAUCUAGGCUACAAACGUGAUACAAUGGCUGUCACAAAG
rnacentral:rRNA from 1 species